rnacentral:rRNA from 1 species
AUUGAACGCUGGCGGCAGGCCUAACACAUGCAAGUCGAGCGGAUGAAGGGAGCUUGUUCCUGGAUUCAGCGGCGGACGGGUGAGUAAUGCCUAGGAAUCUGCCUGGUAGUGGGGGACAACGUUUCGAAAGGAACGCUAAUACCGCAUACGUCCUACGGGAGAAAGCAGGGGACCUUCGGGCCUCGCGCUAUCAGAUGAGCCUAGGUCGGAUUAGCUAGUUGGUGAGGUAAUGGCUCACCAAGGCGACGAUCCGUAACUGGUCUGAGAGGAUGAUCAGGCACACUGGAACUGAGACACGGUCCAGACUCCUACGGGAGGCAGCAGUGGGGAAUAUUGGACAAUGGGCGAAAGCCUGAUCCAGCCAUGCCGCGUGUGUGAAGAAGGUCUUCGGAUUGUAAAGCACUUUAAGUUGGGAGGAAGGGUUGUAGAUUAAUACUCUGCAAUUUUGACGUUACCGACAGAAUAAGCACCGGCUAACUCUGUGCCAGCCGCCGCUGUAAUAC